GUCGGCCGGUCUGUCGCUGCCGCAAGGCAGAGGAAAGUCUGGGCAACACAGAGCGUCCCCCUUCUUAAAAGGAAGUUGCCCGCGAGGGUGAGACAAGCGUAGAAGAAAAUAACCGCCCGGGUAUUCCCGGGUAAGGGUGAGAAGGUGAGGUAAGAGCUCACCAAUCCUGUGGUGAUGCAGGAGUUGUACGCCCGGGGAGUUGCAAGACCAAGUAAACCGGCUAUAAGGAUUGCUCGUCCGUGCCGGAGGGUAGGUUGCUUGAGCAUGAUGGUGACAUUAUGCCGAGAUAAAUGACAGACACAGUCUGAACUAUGACUGUACAGAACCCGGCUUACAGACCGACUG
rnacentral:RNase_P_RNA from 1 species